UACUGCACAUGUGCAUAAGGGCAAGAGUAACAAAUAUGACAGUUCUUUGUAGAUUCAAGGGUAAAAGAAUGCACGAAAGUGGUAAACAGCCUGAUGAAAUCCUAACUCGGUAGUGGCACAGUUACUUAACAGAUUGGAUUAUUCUGCGGAGAAUUAGUGACCCCCUUCAGUCAAUGUAUUUGGAGUCCUAGGUGUGCCUGGUUCUCUGCUGGGUGCUAAGGACGCAGAAAUGAAUCCAGCGCCUUCCUUUGGCUCAGAGGGCAUCUGGUCUACUUCUCCCUUCUCUGUUAAAUCAUUUUGUCUCCAAGCCUUACAUAAUCUUUCUACCGCAGGGAGACCUAGUGUGAGUAACUUAACUAUCUCCCCUUAAAGUUAGAAUGAAAUAACACCGACUUUUACUCUGAAAUCCAUGGAAAUGUAAAAUUUCCUGUUCUGUUGUCCUUGAUAAAAUACAACAUAACAACUAGUUGCUGGGUUACUGCAUAAAACACAGGCUCCAAACUGCAGUGGGGAAGAACAGUUAGCAAUUAAGUAACGGAAAUGACUAGUGGUUUGAAACCCAGCAGACUGCCCAGGCAUCUAGGUUACUUAGGCAACUUUUAUCACUAAGGAAGUAGUUCUGGUGACUCAUGCUCCUACAGAGUGGCUUCCUUCCUUCAAAACUAGUGCAUUCAGGGACGUUGCCAUUAUGCAUCUCUCUUCUUUUUCUUUGGACGAGGGCAGAAAAAGUGCAUUGGAUGGUAUGGGUUUAUUACUUAGUAGCAUAUUAUUCACUGGCUGGCCCAUAUCUUGAAACUUAAUGGACUCAUGGUGAUCAGAAUAAAGCAGGAAGAGGAGGACAGAAGCCUGGAAGUCAAGGGCAAGGAAGAAUAAGAGAAGAGGGCAGCUGGUGCUUCUUGGGAGACUUCUCAUUAUUAGGAUGUCUCUCCCAACGCUCCCUUGCCACACAGAAGUGCAUUUUUAUUUGGCUUCCACAGAAGACCAUCGCCCAGAGCCGCUGGUGCUGGGGAUGCACCUGCACUGUGACUGGGACUCCGGAGUGCUCAUGCUAAUCCAGAGGAAAGCUUUAAAUGAGAGCAUAUAUAUUUUUAAUGUUAAAAUUCAGACACAGACAUUGUGUACAGAUAUGUGCAACUCUGAGCUCAUGCCCAAAAUGUCCUUGAUGGCCUUGUGAUAGUUCUGUAGAGGUAAGUGUAGAGAGUAUUCACAACCAAAAGUCACUAGACUUUACCUCACAACAGAAAAGUUCCACUCCUCUAAGACACCACGAGGUGCGUCCUUUUCCGUCUGCUCUUUUUCUCCUGGAAGUUUAUCAUGUCAUUGAGAGAACACACCCACUGUCUCCUGUUUCUUUUCCCCUGUGACAGCCUAUGAAUAAGAUGACUGGACACCAGAGGAAAAAAGACGAAUAUUUGGCUACAAGGCCUGCUUUUAUGUGGGUCCCUUUCACUCCGUAUUUUUGGGGCACUUGCUUUAAAUCAGGUCCAAUGUGCAAUAAUUAAGCAAUUGCUGUUCAUGGAAUGAUGGGCGACCCAGGAGGGUCAUAACUUGCAGAGACUGCCCCUCUCCAGCACCCCCGUCCAGCAGGGCUUCCUGUGGUGAUAGGAACGUCCUCUCUCCUUGCGGAGCAGCACAGUCGCCAACAGCCACGGCAGCCAUUGGACGCUUGGAAGGUGCCCAGUGUGACUGCUGAGCUAAAUUUUGCAAGUUAAUUAAACUCAAAUCACCAAAUGUGACCAGAGGCUACCCGAUGGACAAUGGAGCUCUAGAGAAUCAAUGAAAUUUUUAUUUAUUUUUGA